CUGCGCUUUGCAGCCGCUAUUUAUACUCUCCCCGGCUCAAGACUGCGCCAUCUUCUCCUCCAUGGGAUAUAGCACAGCCAUCUGAACUCUUUUUGUCUCCAUUUUAAGAUAGACACCAUCUGAACUUGAACUCGGAGUCAGUGACCAGCAUGAGUGAUCGCAGGUAUGGGUACUCGUACCCGCAAAACCAAGGGUACUACAACGGACCGCCGGUGAUGGCGCCGCCGCAGUACGCCCCGCCACCGAGACGGCAGACGGGCUUCCUCGAAGGAUGCCUUGCCGCUCUGUGCUGCUGCUGCCUCGUCGACGAGUGCUGCUGCGACCCAUCCAUCAUAUUCGUGACCUGACCUCGCGCCAGAUGGCGGCCGACGAGCGAUCCGGCCUGAGCUAUAUGCCUAUACAUGUGUACUGUGUACAUGAAUGAGUGAGUAUAUGUGUGUUUGUCUUUCGUUGUUGUACGUUUUCAGCCUAUGUAUGCAUCACAGUAGAGAAAAAGUCAAGCAACGGCAGUUGCGCACAGGGUCUCCAGGACGACGAAGAACUAGACAGAUGCUCACCAGCCCAUGGCCUGAUCCGAUAGUAGGUGGUGUUGUUGACUGCUUGCACUACACAUCUACAUAUGCUGUGCACUAUAUAGCUAGUUGCGUAGUCUCUAAUCUGCAAUAAUGAAUACACAGGACGAUAAGUCUGUAUAUGCUGUACUACAAAUAAGACGAUGCAGUGUCUGUCUACAAAUAAGAUGAGGCGAAAGAGAAGUUCAUUACUGUUAUGUUCGGGCAGUUCCUAUCUCGACCUGUACUGCUCUCCCAUAUGGGAUACUUCGAACCUUGAUUUCUACGAAAACAACAUAAGAGCAUCUCCAAUCGCGUCCCCCAAAGCGUCUCCCAAACCGCGCCGGAUUGAGCGU